rnacentral:rRNA from 1 species
CCUACGGGUGGCAGCAGUGGGGAAUAUUGCACAAUGGGGGAAACCCUGAUGCAGCGCCGCCGCGUGAGUGAAGAAGUAUUUCGGUAUGUAAAGCUCUAUCAGCAGGGAAGAAGAAAGACGGUACUUGACUAAGAACCCCCGGUAAACUCCGUGCCAGAAGCCGCGUUAAUACGUAGGGGGCAAGCGUUAUCCGGAUUUACUGGGGGUAAAGGGAGCGUAGACGGCAGUGCAGGUCUGAAGUGAAAGCCCAGGGCUCAACCCCGGAACUGCUUUGGAAAUUGUGGAGCUAGAGUGCGGGAGAGGUAAGUGGAAUUCCUAGUGUAGCGGUGAAAUGCGUAGAUAUUAGGAGGAACACCAGUGGCGAAGGCGGCUUACUGGACAGUAACUGACGUUGAGGCUCGAAAGCGUGGGGAGCAAACAGGAUUAGAUACCCCAGUAGUC